rnacentral:ncRNA from 3 species
AAGGAGCUUACAAUCUAGCUGG